rnacentral:piRNA from 1 species
UCAUUCAUACUUUUAUUUAUG